AUACGUAGGGUGCAAGCGUUAAUCGGAAUUACUGGGCGUAAAGCGUGCGCAGGCGGUUUUGUAAGACAGUGGUGAAAUCCCCGGGCUCAACCUGGGAACUGCCAUUGUGACUGCAAGGCUGGAGUGCGGCAGAGGGGGGUGGAAUUCCGCGUGUAGCAGUGAAAUGCGUAGAUAUGCGGAGGAACACCGGUGGCGAAGGCAAUCCCCUGUGCCUGCGCUGAUGCUCAUGCACGAAAGCGUGGGGAGCAAACAGGAUUAGAUACCCUGGUAGUCCACGCCCUAAACGAUGUCAACUGGUUGUUGGGGAUUUAGUUUCUCAGUAACGAAGCUAACGCGUGAAGUUGACCGCCUGGGGAGUACGGCCGCACGGUUAAAGCUCAAAUGAAUUGACGGAG
rnacentral:rRNA from 1 species